CCAGGGGCUGGCCAAUGACCAGGCCGCCCGGGAUGAGCUAAUAAUGGAAGCAAUUUGUAACUUUCAGUAGCUCUCUAGGCCUGGGUACCGGAGGGAGGGAGGCGGGCAGAGGAGGGGAGAUGGGCACCCCCAGUCUUUCCAUCCUCCUCAUUCGUCUAGGGGCACCCGAAUCCCCUAUUCCUUAUUUCCCCUAUCACUCAGGCACUGGCAGGGUCUUUUGCCCACUCCUGUUGGCCGCUGCGGCUCCAAAGCGAGCUGGGCAGAUGUGCCUGAGACAGGUUUGACCAGGCAACUGAAAAGACAUCCCUAAGAGAAGACAAAGCAAAGGUAUGAAAGGAACACACGUCCCUGACUGACUAGGAGGAACAGAG
rnacentral:lncRNA from 10 species